rnacentral:rRNA from 1 species
CCCCAGACUCCUACGGGAGGCAGCAGUGGGGAAUAUUGCACAAUGGGGGAAACCCUGAUGCAGCAACGCCGCGUGAGUGAAGAAGUCAUUCGUGAUGUAAAGCUCUAUCAGCAGGGAAGAAAAUGACGGUACCUGAAGAAGAAGCCCCGGCUAACUACGUGCCAGCAGCCGCGGCAAUACGUAGGGGGCAAGCGUUAUCCGGAUUUACUGGGUGUAAAGGGAGCGUAGACGGCAGUGCAAGUCCGGAGUGAAAGCCCGGGGCUCAACCCUGGGACUGCUCUGGAAACUGUAAAGCUGGAGUGCGGGAGGGGCAGGCGGAAUUCCUGGUGUAGCGGUGAAAUGCGUAGAUAUCAGGAGGAACACCGGCGGCGAAGGCGGCCUGCUGGACCGUAACUGACGUUGAGGCUCGAAAGCGUGGGGAGCAAACAGGAUUAGAUACCCCCGUAU